GCAGCAGCAUAAUAAGCAUCAGAAUCAAUCAUCAGUCCUCAUAUUUUACCCAACAAACUACCAAAAAUUGUCCCAUUCCAACACCAUAAAUUUGUAUGGAUUUGGAAUAAUUUUAGUGCCGGCCAAUUUAAAAACGGCCGGAAUGAGUUUUAAGAAAUAUACCGCAGAGGACAAUCAUAUAAAUUAUAAUUCGACAAACAGCCGAAUCAGCUGAUUCAGGGCCUAAAAUAUACAUCAGAUUUCAGGGGACACACUUUUUAAUUCGGCCGAUAGAGUUAUAAGAUUUUCAGUUAGUUCAGUUAGAUUUUCAUAGUUGGGAUGAAGGCGGAAUAGAAGGAGAAAUCUAUAAUAACAUAAUGCGAUUAUUUUUAGAUAAUGAACUAUAAAUUUGUGACAAAUUAAUCGUCUGGAAUAGAUUUACACGAUAAUUAAAAGUGUUAUGCUAUUCAUUGGCUUUGAUAAAGGCAAAGCCACUGCAGAUAAAAUGUAUAAAAUAUAUACUAGAACAAAUUAUCUAAAUACUUAUUAUCAAUUGUCU